rnacentral:rRNA from 1 species
AUGAUCCAACUCGACUCAAUACAGUUCGGUAACUGUUCUCGAACCAAUCUCGACGCCACCACACCUCCAGUAAGAAAAGAAAUCUACACCACCUAUGUUCCCUACACAAGUUUUUCUGCUGCAGCGCACCCAAGAAUCUUGUUGGACCUAGAUAUCGGUUACGUCUUCACUCCCACGCUGGAUCCGCCCGACCGCAUCCCCGCCGCGCGUUUCUCCCUGCCGCAGCAGCGCUGCCGCGACGAGAGGUUGGCCUUUGUGGAAUGCCGCCACGGCCUAGCCCUUUUCCUCAACAAGAAUCGGCCCGAGGCCGUGGUGUGGAACCCCAUCUCCGGUCACCAGCGCCGAGUAGCUUUUCCAACAGAGUUUGGCAACACUAGAGAGAUGGACAUCCUAUACGCGGCGGUGCUCUGCGCUGCCGGUGACGACGACCCUUGCCAUGUGCACGGUGACUGCGACUUGAGCUCUUUUAAAUUGGCUUUGGUGCGAGGUGGUGAAGACAACGCAAGUGUAUCUGUAUGCCUCUACAAAUCCAAGUCUGGCCUAUGGGGAAAUGUUAUCUCAGCAACUAAAGAUUGGUACACAUUGAGUAGUCGGAGAAUGCACGGUGUCCUGGUUGGGAAUGCACUUUAUUGGUGGUUUAUCCAAGUAAUUGAAGGUGUUAUCCUUGAGUUUGAUUUUGAAAUGCAGAAGCUUGUUGUAGUUGAGAAGCCAGUAGACCAAGGUCGUCGUUCUGGCUUUCAGAUCGUGCGGAAAGAGGAAAGUAGUCUUGGACUCAUCAUGUUGACAGAACUGACCAUGCGGCUGUGGGAGCGAAAGGUCAAUUCUGAUGAUGUUGCUACAUGGGCCCUUCAGAAAACCAUUGAUCUGACAAAGCACCUUUGGCCAAGACAGUCCGUCCAGGUCUUCUGGACCAGGAUACAGGGGUACGAUGAGGAUCACAAUGUGAUAUUUCUGGGGACAUCUAGUGGUUCCUUCAUGAUUCAACUCGACUCAAUGCAGUUCGAUAACCGUUUUCAAUUCAAGUCCAUCUUCACCCAUUUCCCCUACACAAGCUUUUAUGCUGCAGACUGGGCAGCUGGUGGUAGAGAUGAUGGAACUGAAAUGUCAAGCAGUACAUCACCUAAUUGUCCUAUCAGAUAA